GGCGAGAUAGCAAAGUGGUUAUGCAGCGGAUUGCAAAUCCGUCUACGCCGGUUCGAUUCCGGCUCCGGGCACCA
rnacentral:tRNA from 1 species